GGCAGAGACACAGGCAGAGGGAGAAGCAGGCUCCGCUCCAUGCAGGGAGCCCGAUGUGGGACUUAAUCAGGCACUAAACUGCUGAGCCACCCAGGUAUCUCCACGAGUAUCUUUAUGAGGAAGGUAGGGAUGCCUGGGUGGCUCAGUUGGUUGAGCAUCCAACUCUUGAUUUCAGCUCAGAAGAUGAUCUCAGGGUCCUGGGAUUGAGCCCCAGAUCAGGUUCUGUGUUCAGUGGGGUGUUUGCUUUAGGAUUUCUCUUCCUCUCCCUCUGUCCCUCCUUCUGCUCACAAGCACUCUCUCUCCCUCUCUCUCUAAAAUAAGUAAUUUUUUUUUUUAAAGAAAGGUAGAAAGUGAGACAGGAGAUAUAAUGACAUAAGUAGAGGUAGGAGGAUGUGAGGUCACAGACCAAGAAAUACAGGCAGCCUCUAGAAGCUGGAAAAGACUAGGAAAUAGAUCUCCCCUUAAAGUGCCCAGAAGGAACAUGGCCCCACUGAGACCUUGAUUUUAGCCAUUUUGGACUUCUGACCUCCAAAACGGUAAGACAGUAAAUUUAUGUUUUCCUUGUUUCUUUGGUUUUUGUGUGUAUUUUUUGUUUUGUUUUUGGAGAGAUAGAUGAUCCUUUAAGUUUAUGCUGUUUUAAGCCACUAAAUUCAUGCUAAUCUGUUACAGCAGCAAGAGGAAAUUAUAUUCCAAUUAUUUUUAGCCAUAUUUCUAAUGGAAGAGAUGUAGAAGGAGGAGAAUGUGUUCUUAUAUUGCUGGUGGAAAGCAAUUGGUAUUACCCAUUAAAAUUAAAAAAUACAUUUUAUCUUUCCAACCAGCAAUCUUAAUCCUGGAAAUCUAACCCACAGCAAUAAAAGCAAUUAAGGACAUAUUUAAAUAUAUUUAUGGCAGUUGAGUAUAGUGGAAAAAAAUAGAAAAAGUGCUCAUCAACAGGAUAAUAGGAUGGUAUGCAACCAUUAAAAAAAAUUAGAGGAUAAAGUUGAACUCCUGCCUCACACCAUAUGCAAAAAUUAAUUUAAUUCAAGAUGGAUCAAACCUAAAUGUAAGAACUAAAACUGUAAGUUCUUAGAAGAAAAUAGGCAUGAAUCUCCAUAGCCUUGAAUUACAUAAUGACUUCUUAAAUAUGACACCAAAAGCACAAGAAACAACUACAAAAAAAUAGAUAAAUUAGACUUCAUUAAAAUUAAAGAUGUUUGUUUUUCUAAGGACAAAGAUGAAGACAACCCUCAGAAUGGAAGAAAAUCGUGUGUUAUGUCUAGAAUAUGUAAGAAUUCUUACAACUCAACAAUAAACCCCAACCCAAUUUAAAACGGUCAAAGGAUCUGAAUAGACAUUUCUCCAAAGAAGAUAUGAAUAGCCGAGACACAGAGAGAGAGAGGCAGAGACACAGGCGGAGGGAGAAGCAGGCUCCACGCAGAGAGCCCGACGUGGGACUCGAUCCAGGGUCUCCAGGAUCACGCCCUGGGCUGCAGGCGGCGCUAAACCGCUUUGCCACCAGGGCUGCCCUGGGUAAAUCUUUCGGUACUAUUUCCAAGGAAAUUUUCAGGGAUCUGCCCUCUACGGUAGUUAUUAUAGGUUUUGCUCCCUUCCAUCAAUAUCAACAGCCUGUCAAUCCCCACUGGCUCUCCUUGGGGAGGGCAAGCUGAGGGGAGUUGGGGCACUAUAGGAAAAACAUUGAUACUUGGUUAUCUUUUGGAUACCAUGCCUACUUCUAGUUCCAGUUAGUUCAGUUAUAUUAUAUGGCAGAUUCCUCUUGAUGAUGUCAUAUCUUUGUGAAGUUGGGUUUUGGGCCAUUGCUGUGAUAAAGAGCAAGUACUAUGCAAAAAUGAAUGUGGAAGAAAUGAGGAUGGCAGUGUCCAAUCUGAUCCCAAUGUUGAGAAACUGCAGUGCCCAAAAGCGAACACCCAUUCCAUUAGUAACUCUGUGGUCAUCUAAGAAUGCAAUAAAUUUUUUUUUUUUUUUUAGAGAGAAGGAUGGGGUUGGGGAGGAGCAGAAGGGGCGGGUGAGAGAAUCUUAAGCAGGCUCUGUACCCAGUGUCUCCAACCUCCAACAUGGGGCUUGAUUUCACCACCUAAGAUUAUGCCCUGAACUGAAAUCGAGUUGGACGCUUAAUUGACCAAGCCAAGCCACCCCGGUGUCCCUUUUUUCAUUUACAUGUAUUAGAACCUAACUACUUAAUCAAUGUUAACUGUUAGGUAUUUCUCCUAGCAAAGGGACUCUGAAAAAAGACUCCAGCCACCAUAAACCAAGAAAGUUUGGGAAACUUUGGGUUAUUUCUCUAUAUAUUACACUCCAAACUUUCCAGUUCUUCAGUUCUUGUGCAACAUUCCUCUCAUAGGAUCAGCUUCCGAGAUUGGGGGUGAAUAUAGAAACACCUCGAUAGGAAAUACUUAAGUGUCUGCUUUAAAGGUAACAAGUUAAAUACAAGCAGUUACCUUCCCAGUCCAAUAUGCCUAGAAGGAGAUACAUUCCACCUCCUAGCUCCCCAGGGUCACUUCAUAAAUUACAAAAAUGAGACACCAGAGCCACUCAACACACGUCUGUAUUCAGGAGUGCUCAUGUCUGGACCAGAGAAUUCCAUGUCAUCUAUCAUUCUCAUCAGGACAUCCUGGGGUAAAUCACGCUACUCCUGAUGCCUCCUCUAAAAAUUCCUAUCUCAAAAGGUGCUUCCUAUAACUCAGACCCCAGCUGCAGUUACUCUGCUAAAUUAUGCAGUACAUUAGGGCCACAUAAAUCCAAGGCAUUAAUUGUAAUUACUGUGUAAUUAUACUGAUUGUUAUUGCAUUAAAUAUGUACUUCUACACAUGUGUUUCCAUAGUUACAAUGGCAAGACUACAUUUAGAAUUAACACAUAAUGGACUUCUUUCCAUGUUUUAAUUAUUUAGCCCACUCAUCGCAAAUUGGAAAAGGACUGAUAAUCAAAUAUUUACAGUUUCUACUCUUGAAAUGAGACGAACUAAUCAGAAUACACUUUUUAAAAAUGUUUAUACCAAAUUCACACACAGCAUAUAUACACAUAUAGCAUAUUCACACACUUAAAAAAAAAAAGGAAAAGGGG